UUUUAAGACGACCACGUAAAGUUUUCAUCUAAAAAUAAAGUAACUGAUAUAUAUUCGUAUAUAGUACGUGGCAUUUUUAUUCAAAAUACUUUCCAGUUAGUAAUUAGACAAUCAUAAUUUCAAUUUAACCGUUUAAAUUUUAAAACUUUCUUAAAUAAAAAAAAUUUUCAAUAAUUAAAAAAUGAUAACAGUUAACUCAUUAAUAGCAGCGACAUUGGUAUAUUUCUUAAUACAAUUAUUAGGAGUCUCUCCAGAUUCUGGAGUUUCAGAAUGGGUGGACAGUGAUGAAGAUUCGUGUUUUUUUUUCGGUGAUUCACAAGGUAA